rnacentral:rRNA from 1 species
ACGCUCGACACCUACGGGGGCAGCAGUCGGGAAUAUUGCGCAAUGGAGGGAAACUCUGACGCAGUGACGCCGCGUGCAGGAAGAAGGUUUUCGGAUUGUAAACUGCUUUAGACAGGGAAGAAAAAAGACAGUACCUGUAGAAUAAGCUCCGGCUAACUACGUGCCUAGCAGCCGCGGUAAUCUGAGCGGGCUGGCAAGGC